rnacentral:rRNA from 1 species
GUGCCAGCCGCCGCGGUAAAACGUAGGAGGCGAGCGUUAUCCGGAUUUACUGGGCGUAAAGGGCAAGUAGGUGGCUGGAUGCGUGGGGUUUGAAAACACCUGGCUUAACUGGGUGAGUGGGCCCCAAACGGUCGAGCUUGAGGUAGGGAGAGGGAUGCGGAAUUCCUGGUGUAGUGGUGGAAUGCGUAGAGAUCAGGAGGAACACCCGUGGCGAAAGCGGCAUCCUGGCCCUGACCUGACACUGAGGUGCGAAAGCGUGGGGAGCAAACAGGAUUAGAAACCCCGGUAGUCC